GGUAACUCGUUGAACAAGAAGAGUAAGCAGGAUAUUUUCGUUUCAGAGAGCCGGAAAUGGUGUGAACCGGUACGUAAUACCUGUUGAAUGGCCUUGUGAGAGGCAGCCUGAACCAAUAAGUAGGGCUGCCCGGACUCCUCCGUUAAAAGGAUAGGGUAUAUCGAGAUCUUUUUAGAUUUCCUGUACUUGAAGAGAGGGAACUUUUUUAAGUUCCAACUUGAGGUGGCACCGCGGUCCAAUCGUAAUCGUCCUCUAU
rnacentral:ncRNA from 1 species